rnacentral:lncRNA from 1 species
CAAAGGUACACAAAGAGAAAAUAAUUAAUGAAAAAAGACAAUAACAUUUUAUGAGAAGACUAUCCACCUAGUGAAUAAAAAGAGAUAAAAGAGUACAGGAUGUAGUCAAAUUGUAGCAAAGAAUGUGGAAGUAUUAUUCACAACAGUAUUCAAGAGAAAAUAACCAGUGAUGAACUGGAAAAGUACAAAGUAAAGUGAGAUUAAAAUGAGCAGGAAGCCAGAGCUGAGAGAGCAGUAGUGAAGGGAGAAAAGACAGAAAACUAAAACACUGCCCUGCAAACGAUUAAAUAAUAAUAAAAAAAAUCAGUUGAAACUAAAAUAAAAAAACCAAACAUAUAAGAAGAAGACAAAACAAAACAAAAAAUAUUCUAGCAAGUAACAUGCAAGAGCAAUCCGUGGGGUGUGUUGUGCAUUGUAGUAGGGCACAAUAAGAAGCAGAAAAGUCCUGGGCUCAGUGUGGGCGCUGCUCCGCAACAACAGCAGGAAGGAACUACAACGUGGAUGCGUUAGCACCACCGUUUUUGUCAGAAACGCAAAAGAGCCCACCAACCCGUGCGAGGCGGUACGAGGAAAAUGGGCAGUCUCCCAGACAAAACCACGACAACUACCUAGUGUAGUAUAGUGGUGUACCUACGUGGCAUGGAGACAAUAUUUUCAGUUACCUUUAUCAAAUCCUUUUUAAUAAUUCUGUGUCUGUAUGUACUGUAGAAGUUGCAGUGGCGGGCUGACCUCAGCCAGCAGCCCGAUGCACAGCCAGCUACUCGGUCACUCAGUGUCCUCAACGGGACAGAGUAGGGAAGGCGAUGGGCAUUCUCGUGGGUCAAGACACGGACAGGGAGCUCGCUCACCAGAGGCAAAGCAGAAUAGACGUGGGGGAAGUUGCUUGGAGUCAUUGCACAUUUUGGACAGACUUGGAUGGUGAGAAACAAAAGCACCUGACCCCCCUCCCCUCUUCCCCGAGCCCAAAUACCCUCCUUCACGCACGAGUCCUCGACGUCCCCGCAGCGUGAGAGGUGCAGGGGUGAGGGGCGGUAGCGGUCAGUCCCCCCACAGCUCUGCUCGGCCGCUCCUUCCUCCUCCACUUCUCCCCUGUACCUGUGUGGGCUCUGAGCAGGCUGCAGCAUCCCUUGGGGUGUGGUGACGUGCCCCGCCGCCUCCAGCAGCGGCUGCGGGAGAAUCUCUGCCCUAGCGCUUGGAGCACCUCCUUCUGUUUCUCCUCCUGCCCAUGCUUUUUCUCCACCCUUUGCUCCGGCUCCACCUCCUCCUCCUCACGCUCCACCUCCUUCUCCUCCUCCCUCUCCGCCUCCCGCUCCCCAGCUUCUCACUCGGGCAUUCACGUGGCUGUCUCUCACACGGUUCCACCCUCUCUCCCCACUGCUGGGCAGCAUUCUGCCCCUUCUUGCCCUUUCCUCGGGACGUUUCCCCCAGGACGCCUCCACCUUGGGUGUGGGGCUCGGUUGUGCCUUGUGGCAGUGCCGCUGGAGCUGGAUGGAAACGGCUGGUUUUGACAGGGGGCAGCCCUGCCUUCUCCUCAGAGGCAGCUGGCAACCCGCAGUGCCAGCACGUGGGCACCCGCCCCCUACAGCGGGGACGAUUGUAUCAAAAUGUAUAUAUUGUAACAUCAGAGCGCUCUCCGGCCCAGAGGAAUUGGGCAGCCAAUCAGAGGGACUCCUGAGAAAGCGACAGCCUUUGAAAGAGAGGCCAAUCACAGAGCAGUGCGAAAACACGUGGCCUACUAAGUGCCACAAGAUGGUGGCUCCGGACUGUGGAAUUCGGGCUGAAACAAAAUGGCGCCUCCGCUGGCUCAUGAAAUGGCGGCUCCUCACCCUGGAAUGCAGACUGGAACAAAAUGGCGCCUCCCUGUGUAGCCGGCACGAAGGAACGCCCUGCCCGUUUCACAGCUACGCUUUGAGGAGUACAGGCAUAGGUUUAACUGCUCGGUCUGGAUGCCUGUGUGCCUGUUAUGUGUAGUUGUCGCUGCUUAACCUGGCAGAAAGCGGAACACCACGCAGCCUCCCCAGCUGUGAUGGGGAAAGAAUCGGAAGGAUGGAAGUGGGAGCACACGCGGGUUUAGGUAAAGACGGUUUGCUAGGUAAAUGAAAAGGCGUGCCCGCAAGCCAAGGGAAACGUUUGCCGCUUUCCCUUUGACAGGCAACUAUUCAGCCGCUUCUAGGAUCCCAGGGCUCACUGCACGUAACCAGCUCUAUCUAGCAUGUGUGCAGCGUGCUGAUAUGAAGGCGAAAAAAAGCUUUACUUACCUGUAUGAAGGUCUCCCUGCAUUUGAGGAAGGAAUUUCUAUACAUAGACUGCCGUGUCGCGCUGACCUUGGCCAGCAGCCUGAUGCUGUGCGGUCUGUGUCACGUGCCAUCUUCUCGUGCACUCCCAACCUCCUUGCUGGCAGGGCGCCGUAAGAAGCAGAAAAGUCCUGGGCUCAGUGUGGGCGCUGCUCCGCAACAACAGCAGGAAGGAACUACAACGUGGAUGCGUUAGCACCACCGUUUUUGUCAGAAACGCAAAAGAGCCCACCAACCCGUGCGAGGCGGUACGAGGAAAAUGGGCAGUCUCCCAGACAAAACCACGACAACUACCUAGUGUAGUAUAGUGGUGUACCUACGUGGCAUGGAGACAAUAUUUUCAGUUACCUUUAUCAAAUCCUUUUUAAUAAUUCUGUGUCUGUAUGUACUGUAGAAGUUGCAGUGGCGGGCUGACCUCAGCCAGCAGCCCGAUGCACAGCCAGCUACUCGGUCACUCAGUGUCCUCAACGGGACAGAGUAGGGAAGGCGAUGGGCAUUCUCGUGGGUCAAGACACGGACAGGGAGCUCGCUCACCAGAGGCAAAGCAGAAUAGACGUGGGGGAAGUUGCUUGGAGUCAUUGCACAUUUUGGACAGACUUGGAUGGUGAGAAACAAAAGCACCUGACCCCCCUCCCCUCUUCCCCGAGCCCAAAUACCCUCCUUCACGCACGAGUCCUCGACGUCCCCGCAGCGUGAGAGGUGCAGGGGUGAGGGGCGGUAGCGGUCAGUCCCCCCACAGCUCUGCUCGGCCACUCCUUCCUCCUCCACUUCUCCCCUGUACCUGUGUGGGCUCUGAGCAGGCUGCAGCAUCCCUUGGGGUGUGGUGACGUGCCCCGCCGCCUCCAGCAGCGGCUGCGGGAGAAUCUCUGCCCUAGCGCUUGGAGCACCUCCUUCUGUUUCUCCUCCUGCCCAUGCUUUUUCUCCACCCUUUGCUCCGGCUCCACCUCCUCCUCCUCACGCUCCACCUCCUUCUCCUCCUCCCUCUCCGCCUCCCGCUCCCCAGCUUCUCACUCGGGCAUUCACGUGGCUGUCUCUCACACGGUUCCACCCUCUCUCCCCACUGCUGGGCAGCAUUCUGCCCCUUCUUGCCCUUUCCUCGGGACGUUUCCCCCAGGACGCCUCCACCUUGGGUGUGGGGCUCGGUUGUGCCUUGUGGCAGUGCCGCUGGAGCUGGAUGGAAACGGCUGGUUUUGACAGGGGGCAGCCCUGCCUUCUCCUCAGAGGCAGCUGGCAACCCGCAGUGCCAGCACGUGGGCACCCGCCCCCUACAGCGGGGACGAUUGUAUCAAAAUGUAUAUAUUGUAACAUCAGAGCGCUCUCCGGCCCAGAGGAAUUGGGCAGCCAAUCAGAGGGACUCCCUGAGAAAGCGACAGCCUUUGAAAGAGAGGCCAAUCACAGAGCAGUGCGAAAACACGUGGCCUACUAAGUGCCACAAGAUGGUGGCUCCGGACUGUGGAAUUCGGGCUGAAACAAAAUGGCGCCUCCGCUGGCUCAUGAAAUGGCGGCUCCUCACCCUGGAAUGCAGACUGGAACAAAAUGGCGCCUCCCUGUGUAGGUAGGUGGGAGGGAUUUUCUGUCUUGUCCCAUCCUACCUGCGGGCGGGCCCAGUAGCACUGGGUCCUCCCCUUCACCCGCAGCCCUUUCCCCGCCCCUGCACGCAUCCACCCGGCGCCUCCAGCUGGUAGCCAGGAAGAACGGCGGGCUGGAGGCGCCGCUCUGCUGAGCGGCUGCAGGUGCCGGCCGCGCUGCCCGGUGGCUCUCCGUCCGAGUGGUAGGAGGUGCUCUGCUGCACAUCGCGUGUAGCUGAACGAGCCCACAUCUAGGAUUCGGGGCGCAGGGGGGUGGGGGAGCUAGGCAUUCCUUUUGAGGAGCGGUUUUCUGCACCUUUCUAAAUUGCAAGGUGGGCAGCUCCUAUGGUAAAGAGGGAAGAUGAGAGAGCAGGUGAACGUGCGCCUGGUCCCGACCCUGCGUAUGUGCCUUGAAUUGCACUGGCGCUUGUCUGGAUGAUGCGCAUGCUUGUGUCCAAGUGCCUUCUUUUGUGAGUGUGCCAUGUCACAUCCAGGCAGCAAAAUUCAUAGCGCAACGAUUAAGGAAGAAAGGGUUGCAGGCUCAGCUGAAGGUGGCGUUUUGCUCUGUUUUUCCAUGUAUGCAAACGGCGGGGAGCGCUGCCUGACUUUCCCAUCCCCAUGUGAAGCCCCAGGCCUGCCCUAGGAAGCCUGCGUGGUCUGUUAUGCAGGUUGGCAUAAGGCCCGGGGAUGUGUCCGGUCACUCGAGUUGUCAGGGUCGCUCCCGCUGGCAAGUUUGAGGAUCAGUAGCCGGGCAAGAUGUCCCUCCAGGCCGUGGCCCAGCGUGGCCACCUGGGAGGCAUCCUCGUGCCCCCUGUUUUGGCCGAGCGCCCGCCCUCUUGAAGCUCCCCCACCGCUGCUGUGCCAGGGGCUUUUCUGCAGACUGCUAACGGGCGGGUCGCCGACCUGGCCUUCUGCUCACGUUGGACUGUUUCUAUUCCCACUGAAACUUGAAUUCUUUAUUUUGUUAGCCGGCACGAAGGAACGCCCUGCCCGUUUCACAGCUACGCUUUGAGGAGUACAGGCAUAGGUUUAACUGCUCGGUCUGGAUGCCUGUGUGCCUGUUAUGUGUAGUUGUCGCUGCUUAACCUGGCAGAAAGCGGAACACCACGCAGCCUCCCCAGCUGUGAUGGGGAAAGAAUCGGAAGGAUGGAAGUGGGAGCACACGCGGGUUUAGGUAAAGACGGUUUGCUAGGUAAAUGAAAAGGCGUGCCCGCAAGCCAAGGGAAACGUUUGCCGCUUCCCUUUGACAGGCAACUAUUCAGCCGCUUCUAGGAUCCCAGGGCUCACUGCACGUAACCAGCUCUUAUCUAGCACGGUGUGCAGCGUGGCUGAAUAUGAAGGCGAAAAAAAGCUUUACUUACCUGUAUGAAGGUCUCCCUGCAUUUGAAUGUAUGUGUAAUUUCUAUACAUAGACUGCCGUGUCGCGCCGACCGUGGCCAGCAGCCUGAUGCUGUGCGGUCUGUGUCGCGUGCCAUCUUCUCGUGCACUGCCAACCUCCUUGCUGGCAGGGCGCCGUAAGAAGCAGAAAAGUCCUGGGCUCAGUGUGGGCGCUGCUCCGCAACAACAGCAGGAAGGAACUACAACGUGGAUGCGUUAGCACCACCGUUUUUGUCAGAAACGCAAAAGAGCCCACCAACCCGUGCGAGGCGGUACGAGGAAAAUGGGCAGUCUCCCAGACAAAACCACGACAACUACCUAGUGUAGUAUAGUGGUGUACCUACGUGGCAUGGAGACAAUAUUUUCAGUUACCUUUAUCAAAUCCUUUUUAAUAAUUCUGUGUCUGUAUGUACUGUAGAAGUUGCAGUGGCGGGCUGACCUCAGCCAGCAGCCCGAUGCACAGCCAGCUACUCGGUCACUCAGUGUCCUCAACGGGACAGAGUAGGGAAGGCGAUGGGCAUUCUCAUGGGUCAAGACACGGACAGGGAGCUCGCUCACCAGAGGCAAAGCAGAAUAGACGUGGGGGAAGUUGCUUGGAGUCAUUGCACAUUUUGGACAGACUUGGAUGGUGAGAAACAAAAGCACCUGACCCCCC